UACAGAGGUCUCAAGCGUUGUUCGGAUUCAUUGGGCGUAAAGGGUGCGUAGGCGGCGCGGUAAGUCGGGUGUGAAAUCUCGGAGCUUAACUCCGAAACUGCAUUCGAUACUGCCGUGCUUGAGGACUGGAGAGGAGACUGGAAUUUACGGUGUAGCGGUGAAAUGCGUAGAUAUCGAGAAGAACACCGGUGGCGAAGGCGGCCAACUGGACGGUGACUGACGCUGAGACGCGAAAGCGUGGGGAGCAAACAGG
rnacentral:rRNA from 1 species